GCCAGCCCCUCCCGGAAGCGCCGGCGGAGCGUCCCGCAUGGAGCGCGAGCCGCGCGCCUCAGAGGCCGGCCCUGCGGCGGCCGCGCUCUUCGCUUGGGGUGCAAACAGCUAUGGACAGCUUGGCCUUGGCCAUAAGGAAGAUGUGCUUUUGCCCCAGCAACUGAAUGACUUCUGUAAACCCGGGUGUGUCAGGAGGAUCACGGGAGGAGGGGGCCACUCUGCUGUGGUCACAGAUGGAGGAAGCCUUUUUGUUUGUGGCCUGAACAAAGAUGGGCAGCUGGGGCUUGGUCACACGGAGGAUGUCCUGUAUUUUACCCCCUGCAGAUCCCUCCUUGGCUGUCCCAUCCAACAGGUGGCCUGUGGCUGGGAUUUCACUAUUAUACUCACAGGAAAUGGUCAAGUUCUGUCAUGUGGAUCCAACUCCUUUGGCCAAUUAGGAGUUCCUCAUGGGCCUCGAAGAUGUGUGGUUCCCCAGGCCAUUGAGCCCCUGAGAGAGAAGGUUGUUAGUAUUGCUGCUGGACUGAGGCAUGCUUUAGCUGCUACAGCAAGUGGCAUCGUGUUCCAGUGGGGCACUGGCUUGGCAUCGUCUGGACGGCGGUUGUGCCCUGGGGAGACUCUCCCACUGUUUUUGACAGCAAAGGAACCAAGCAGAGUGACAGGCCUAGAGGAUUCUAAGGCGACAUGUGUUGUUGCUGGCUCAGAUCACUCAGCUUCAUUGACAGAUGCAGGAGAGCUGUAUGUUUGGGGAAGCAACAAACACGGGCAGCUGGCUUCCCAGGCUGCUUUCCUUCCUGUGCCCCAGAAAAUAGAAGCACAUUGUUUUCAGCAUGAAAAGGUCACUGCCGUCUGGAGUGGGUGGACACACCUAGUUGCUCAGACAGAAACUGGCAAGGUGUUUACCUGGGGCCGUGCGGACUAUGGUCAACUAGGGAGGAAGCUGGAGUCUCAUGAAAACUGGAGACUGGACAUGCAGGGUUUGUCUCUCCCCUGCCCGAGACCACAGAAGAGCACGCCUUCACCUCUGCAUUGCUUAACGGGAGCUACUGAGGUCUCUUGUGGCUCAGAGCAUAAUCUGGCAGUGAUUGGGGCAGAAGGCCGGAGCCGGCUGGUGCUGAGUUACCUACUGGGCCUGGUGCUGCCAACGGCCCAUCUCUACCCAUCUCUCAGACGACAGCAGCUGCUGCAUCCCAGACACAGGUGGCUCUAGGCUCUGCAGAGAAACAGCCUCUGUCUCCCAGAAUCAAGCUGCAGGAACCUUACAUGAUGGCCUCCUCCCUCUCCUGGGAUCUGAAAGCCUGGAGAAGAACUACCCCGGAAACCUGAGGGAAGAGAGCUUCUGUUUAAAAGUGAUGAGACCCUGAAGUAUUUAUGCAGACCCAAAUGCUACGUCCAGAUCCAGAUCCCAGGGAAGAACAGAGAUCUAAAGACGGAGUUCUGCAAAAACAGAUCGUCCUCUUGAAUGAGCAAACCAGUUCGUACCCCUAGUUCCUGUUGGCAUUGGCAGCAUCCCUAUGGAGAAGGAGAACUCAGAAGGAUCGGCAACACUGUUUGCUUUGGCAGGGAAUUAGUCCCAGCGUUCUUAGAAAUUCUACUUCCUUGUGCCCUGUGAAACUGACAAAGCGUGAGCUUUGGAGUCUGCCUUGCCAAGUGACUGACUCUCCGAGCCUUGGUUUCCUCUCUGUAAACAAACAUCUGAAUAGCAAAACCUACCUCUCAGGGUCAUUUGGAGGAUUGAGUGAGAUAAGUUAGAUUAAAACACUCAACCCUACAUGUAUUAGGUGGGGUUCUCCAAAGAACAGAGCCACUAGUGUCUCUGUCUCUCAUUCUCUAUCUAGAGAGAUUUCAUUUAAAAAAUGUCUCGUAUGGUUAUGGGGGCUGGCAAGUCUGUAAUCCCUAGGGCAAGCCAGCAGGCUGGAGAUUUGGGUAAAAGUUGAUGUUGCAGUCCUGAAUCCAAAGACAGGAAACUCAGGCAGGGUUUCCAUGUUGCAGCCUUGAGGCAGGAUUCCUUCUUCUUCAGGAAACCUCGGUCUUUGCUCUUAAGGCCUUCAGCUGAUUGGAUGAGGCCCACCACAAUUGAUUGUAAAUGUUAAUCACAUCUAAAAAAAAAUACCUUUACAGCAACAUCUAGACUAGUGUUUGACCAAACAAGCAGUGACCAUAGGCUAGCCAAGGUGACACAAAAUGAACCAUCACACCGUGAAAGGGUUAGGGUUCUCGACAAACACAUUUCCUUCCCUCUCCCUCUCCUUCCCUCUGUUUCAAAGUCAUUGUUGACAUCUUCAGUGAAGAGACUUCACUCAGUGACAUCUCUGGCAUGUGGGCCUAGGAGCUGUUAGAAUCUGAGCAGUGGGGCCUGUGUGCCCCUGCUGUCUCUCUGAGAUCUGUUUCUGUUGACUUACAUACCAGGGAAUCAGCGUCCCUCCUUCCUGAGUCAAACCCUGGAGUAGUCUUAGUGGUUUUCCAUUGAAGUCUGCACUCCAAGCCACACCAGUCUUCCUGUGUAUCCUGUCCAGUGUGUUCCUGAUCUGCUGCUCUAAUAUUUGCAGUAUUGCAUUUAUUAUUUUUGUUUCUGAGCUUAGGUCAGAAGACCUGGGCUCUGCCACAGCAAGACUGUUUUACCCACCAGGAUGACCUUUCUGGCACAGGUUAGUUAGCAGUAACUGAGAGGCUAGAAGCAAAGUCUUGGUGGGGGAGUAAGAGUUAAUGCCCUGCGGAGAAUGUUUCAGGUGGCAUUCUGCCUGGAAGCAGAGAGCUGGACUCACUUCUAUUUCAGAGAUUUAUACUCCACAGGUGAUCAGAAUGCUUCUCCUUUUAAUGGAAUGUGGAAUUGCUUUGCCAAAGUUGAAGAAUGCUAGAUGGGAGCAUAAGGUUCGGAAGAGAGCUCUGGACCAGGAAUUAGGAAGCCUGGACCCUGCUUUCCCACUACCUCCCCGUGUGAUCAUGGGCAAGUCACUUCAUGAGUUUAGGCCUCAGCUACCUCUUUCAUAAGAUCCUGGGAACCAUGCACCACCUUAUCUUUGCACGGUACCACCUUAUAGCAUUCAGAGCAUCUUCCUGAUUCAGCAUCUCUGUUCCUCACACCAGCCGCAUGAGGUAGGCAGGAUAAGGUGUGGAAAUGGAUUGUUCCUAUUUUGCAGACAAGGUUCAAACAGAUUCAAUGAGUUGCUCAAAUUCACAGAGACGGGAGGAGGUAAUGCUGGAAUUGAACCCGGGAUCCUUAGUCCAGCUCGUUUCGGGUGCUGUUUUGAAUGCGGUGACAUCUGUGAGACGGUGAGGGAGCACACACAGUGGAGUUGGCAGGAAGCCAGUGGGAAGGACAGCAGCUUCGGAUGGGGCAACACUGCCUUCAUGCUCCCAGGGCACCCAAGGCGUUGAGGGCAGUGAUAGUCUGAGUGGACUCCCACAAACUGAAGGAGGUUUCUGUCUAGCUAUCAAAUUAAAAUGUUUUCUCAUGCUAUUGAUUCAUUCAGAAAACAUUUAUUGAGGCUUUAUCACAGACCAGGUUCUCUACUGGGGGGCAGGAUAAGUAAGCAGAAGUAUAAUGCAAAGUAGACUGUCUGUCUACUUCUGCAAGCAGAAGUAUAAUGAAAAGUUUCAUAUUUGAAUUGUAAACAGAGGGCUUUAGAUUUACAGUGGAAGGUGUGUGCGAUUGAGUCAUCCUGGGGAGAUGAAGGCAAAUACAGCUGAGCCCUGAAGGAGGAAGCAGGGACCAUCAGGAGAAGGAAAGAGGUCUCUGCCUGCUCUUCCUUUUCGGACCCCUGCAGCAGUCACUGCUGCUCUGGGGUGACACGAAGCCAGCUGCCACAGCCUGUUUGCUGUGAGACCUGGCCAGCGCCAACCCCAGUGGAGCCUCUGUCCUGCUUGUCAGAUUUGAUGCAGUGCCCUGAAGCACAUACUGCACAGCCAGAGAGACUCUGCCGGGCCGCUCCCGGAAGGGUGACGAGGAGAGGGGAGGCACGCGGGCCUCGGCAGGGAGGUGGGCAGGUUUGAAGGAGGUACCUCUUCUAGUGAUUGUGCCGACCCUUCUGAAGGGCUGAGAGGCGGGAGCUGUUGCUUUGCAUGCGUUAUUUCAGACUGAGAGCGGUUUGUGUCUUUAUUUUAAAACUAGCUUCCCAGUCUCCUGUGCAGUUUUCUGUCAGCUCGUUGCCAUGGAGAAGUCAGUUGGGGCUGGAAGCUCUGUCCUUCUCUGUGUCAGCAUUUCUGGACUCACCAGCUGCCUCCUGCCCCUUCUACAGAUGGAGGGGGUGCAGGACCCCACUUGCUGGGCAGACCCUUUUUCUGCAAGGCCUGGAGCUGCAUCUCGCUUCCCUUAGGAUGGGAGUCCGUUUCUCUGUGCAUUCACUCGGCAGCUCUCUCGAUGUGCCUCUCUGUGCCAAGCGUUGUGCUCUGCAAGUACAAAGAUAACUGCGGCUGGGGCACACAAAUCUUUAGGCAGGACCCUGCCAGUACGUUCUAGCACACCAUGCCCUUCUUCUACCGUUCCUCAACUGCAUUCUUACUUCAGAAUUCAAAGCAUGGAGUUUGUUUCUCCUCCAGCCUUUAUAACUGCUCAUUUAGAAUCUCCCUGGAAGUUACUUCUGCAUUCCUGGAUCGCAUUUCCACUCUGUGUCUCCAGCGCCCAGCACUGGACCUGGAGCAAAAGGGGGCCCGCCCAGGAAGUGUCUGUUUAAUGGAGUCCUUUCUCAGACUUGUCAGGAUGUCCGUCUGUCCUAUCUUCCUUCCUCUGUUCUGAGCCUGGAGGCAGCAUGGGCCAGUGGAGAACCAGGUAAAUCUAUGCUUGAGUUUGGCUCUACCUUUUCCUAGUUGCAUGAUCUCAAGCAAAUGGCUUCUUCACCUGGAGCCUUAGUCAAACCCAAUACUUUUCUUUAAACCUGAAUCACAAAUCUGUCAGUAAUUGAGUUUUGACGUUUUAAAAAACAACAUAGAAACUACUGGUGGCCAUUUAACCCCACCAGGUGCUGUCCUGCUACACCCAUGUGGGACCCAGUUGAGAAGUUACCCUGCAGGGAGCCCCGGGCUGGGAUCAAGAGACCCAGAGCUGUGUCCUGGCUAUAACCCGACGGUAUUGCAUGACCUGAUCAAGUCUCUUUGCUUACCAUGACCUCAGUCUCCCUAUUUGAAUAAUUUUGGAAUUGGAUUGAGUGGUCUUGAAGAAUUCUUUUCACUCUAAAAAUCUGAAGAUGCAACUUUUAAAAGAAGAAUCUUCCCUCAGCUUCUGGUCCCACCAUCACAAAUGCCCCUAGGCUGGAGGCUGACCUCAGGAUGACCCCUCUGCUGGCCUCUCGAAGCUGCUCUCCCAGAAAGCUCUGGACUAGCACACUGGCAUCUCUUGGUGGCAGAAAUCUCUUUUGGAUGCAAAAGUCCUUUGACUCCAUCGUUCUGUUCCCACCCUGAAUCCAGUGGCUGGACUUGGCUUGCAUCCCAGAACAGUGGAGAAUUGCUGGAAGGAGGAGUUCGUUCUUCACCUGUGUCUUGCUUUUCCUCAGGGCCUGUGGCCUUCCCGAGCCUUUAGCUACCGAGGAUUCUGUUUCCUGAGCUACCUGCAAUCCAGGGCUCUGUGCCAGGCACUGAGGAGGAUACAGAGAGAGAGGUCAUUCUCCUCACAGCCAGUCUCACAGUCUAUGACAGGGACAGCGAGACAAAGCAGAGCUGUGCAGCUCAUGGGAGGCUUGUCCUGGGAAUCUGCAAACUUGGAUUCUAGCCACGGCCCUUCUGUCUUGUGCAGGUUCUUCCCUUCUCUAAGCCCCAGUGUUGCCUUACGUAGAAUUGAGAGAGUUGCCCCAGUGAUCGCAGAGUCCCCUUCCUGCUCUGAAACCUCCAUUCUGAGUGCUGUAGCUCAGUGAAGGAGUGAUGAUUGUAGACUUCCUAGAGAAAGGAGGACUUGAGCUGAGCCUUGAAGGCUAGACUGGAAUUUGGACUGGCCCAGGAGAAAUGGAUGAUGGCCUUCCUGACUAGGGGAGGAGGGUGCAUGAGCACAGGCAGACCAUAGAGCACAGGUGAGGGUGGAGCAGGUGGGAGCCCUCCUGACCAGGGCAGAGGAUUCGUGUGGUCAUGAGGAGGGGGAGCAAUCUCUGAGGAGGCAACUGUUGCCUUCCAUCUGUGGGCACUUGUCCAGGGCUUGGGGUAUCAGUGGUGCCUGCUAGGCAGGGAAGCAAACAAGGCAGGGUAAAACCAGGGCCCCCUUCUAUCUGGGAGUCCCAGUCUGAAGGCUCAAGGGUCAAAAGUGGGAGAGGCCACCCUCUCCAGGCCCUUGCCUUCUCAUCCCAGCCAGCGGGUCCCUGGUGAGUAGGAUCAGGGCCGAGUGUGAAAGAGUAAGUUUUCCUGGGAUAGCUGCCCUUCUAUCAUGGACUAUUCCUCCCCAAAUGUUUUCCUGAACUCAGAGUGACAAGAGGGAUAUUUUGACUGUGUCCUUGGGAUUGGCUUCUAGAUUCAUCUCCCAGGCCUGUGAAUCAAAGAGUCACGCAUCCUAGACCUAAAUGCAACCUUCAUCCUCCAGUCCUCUGGCUGAGGCUGACUCCUCUCUGCCCUCUGUACCCACAGCUUUGCAGAUGCCCAGUCGUCUUGGUCCUGCCUCCUUGCUUUCUCUCCAGCCAUCUCUUUUCUGCAUCCCACUGCCACUGAGACAGCGCAGGCUCCACUCAUCCUCCUUCUCCCGGACUUGGCCUCUGCCUCCAAACAUCUUCCUGUGGUCCCUCCUCCACGUUCAGUCUGAAGUGUUUAGAAAGUGCCCGGCAGAGUCUAAGUGCUCCCUGAGUGUUACCUGUCGUGAUGACACCAACAGUGAUGAUAACUGUUAUUAUCCAGAUUUGCUUCUGAAGCACAGCUCUGAUUCUGCUGCUCCCUUGCCCAAAAGCCUUAGUGGCUUCCAAUUGGCUGCUGAAUAAAGUCCAAAAUCUUUAGUCAUUUUGAGGAUUAUAUUUCCUGAGCCAUCUGCAAUGAUACGCCCCCUACCUAGCAUCUCGAGUUUAUUUCCUUCUACUACUUUUUGCACUUCCUCUUCUUCCACCAAACUGAACUCCCACCAUUAGCUCUACAAGCCCCAUCCACCUCCCCUGCAUGGCCUUUGUCCCCACCAUUCCCCCUACUUGGAAUGCCCUUCCUCCGGCUCCCUUAACUGUUCUUUUUCCACUGGGAAAUCUCUGCUGACCACCUAGGUUAUAUAUUCCUUGAUGCAGGUGCCAUGAAUGAUUCAUUCUGUAUCCCUGAUAGCAUCUACCAAGGAAAGCUCAAUAAAUGUUUUAUGAGUGACUGGAAAGACCUGGUUCAGCCCCCUCUUUUCAAGCAAGCUAGAGUUUGAAUUAGGGAAGCUCAGUCGUCAAGGCCUAUCCAGCCAGGCCUCACUAAGUAUGAAUUUCCUUGACAGGAUCUGGAAGUUCCUCAGUGUCCAUGGGCACAUGUUCAAUCAGCCAGCUCCACCUGGUCGUGACCCCUGGAUGCUACACACAAGCAAAAUGGCAGGAGAAGAUAGAAACCCAGGGUAACCAUAUUAACUAAGGAGUUGGCUCCUGUUGGUCAGGAUAGGGAUCAACCACCCAAGUUAUAGGGAUCUGUGUGAUCCUGUGACUAUCAAUAUUCUGGAAGGUCCUUCUUGGGUCCUCCAGCAGGAGGAUAAGAGGUCUUCAGGUAGUUAUCAUGGGACCUUCAAAUUCCAAGGGGCUCCAGCCAGACAGCAAUUUGGGGGACAGAUAAAAGUCUCAGGCCCUUAGGUGGUAGAAUGGCAGGAGAGUCUAGGCAGAGUGUCAGGGUCCUGCCCAGCCACCUGGAGUUUGACUCAGGCGUCUAGCCACAGGAGUCCCUAGUUUAGGGCUCACUAGUCAUAUGGCUGGGCGUGUCCAGUGGGCAUCAGCCACGAGGUUGUCAGAGGGGACUGAGCUCCCUCUCUGGUCAGGAUGACUUGGAAAUAGGCAUGACCUCAGUUUGGAAACACCUUCUUGUCUUCAGUUCCCUUGGGUAGGCGGGACCAGGGGAGGUAAAAGCUGAUAGGUAGCCAGGCCCAGAGGUGAGUCCUGCCUCCCCUCCUGGUUCAGUCUGGCUCACCAGACCCUUGCCUCCAUUUCAAACUCAAGCCAUGAUCAUGCCACCCUCUGGGCCACCAUUUGGAAAAGCCAAUCUCAGGCUGACACUGACUGCUUGUAAAUGGCGUGGAAUUAGGCUAAUCAGUGGCUCUUAAUUCCCAAACAAAUGCGGGUGCUGUGCUAAUUGCCAAGGUCCACGGCGGCAGAUCCCUGGUUGGCAGCAUCGAACAAGAGAAGUGGUAAUUUGGGGGCUGGAGUGGGGGAGGGCCUGCUUUCCUGGCUGAGCCAGUUAAAAACCACAUUACCCCCUGAGUGAGCCACAGUGCAGAGAGCCAGGACCAGGCCUCCUUCUCAGCCAAGGGGCUGGGUGAGAGGCCCACAAGUGUGUUUGCAGGAGCUAAACCUCAGCACCAGUGGAGCAGUUUCUUGUCCAUUAAUGGAUUUUUUUUGGUUCAUCAAGGAAGAUUCCGCCAGCACCCUGGCAUGGCACUGCCAGAGCAGCUCACUGGAGACAGAGCAUCUCGAACUUUGGUCUGCCGUUACCAUGGCAACAUGGCAUUUCCAGACUCUCCAGGCAACCUUACUGGCAUCUGCUGCUGUGAAAGAUUCAGGUGGAGAAGGGCCACUGCUCUUUCUCCAUUAGAGACAGAGAAAAUUGUGAAGACAGGGAGCCAUGCACCAAAGACCAGGAUCUUAAAGGAAAAUGCUGUUCCAUUAAUGUAGGGGCUUCUCGAUGAAAUGGUUUUUAGGUAGCUGUUAAAGCUGUUCUGUCUGUCAUAGUCUGUUGGGGAGAGCUGCAGGAUCAGAAGAGACCUCCUGGAGGAAGAAAGUGAGGGGAGAUGGGGAAAAAUAGGGGAGACAGUAUGAACAAAGGCUCAGCUGGGGAGGCAGAUGGAUGGACAAUGGGGUUUGGUGGGAGAAGAGACAUAGGUGGAGAUGGGCAGGUGUUAGCCAUGCCUGUCUGAAACGUGCUGGUUUGAGCCAUGUGUGGCAAAAGCCUGACCUUGGCCUCAUUCCACCUGGAUUAUGUCCUGUCUCUUCCCCUCCUGGGCUCUGGGACCUGAUCUCCACACCUCACACCUCGCUCCAGGUGGGCAUUUCUUGCUUUCCGUUUUGGUUCACGUGUGUUUCAGGAUCUCUUGUACCCACUAGAAUUGCUAAACCUCUACAUUUAUAAGGGAACUGAGACCCAGAGAGGAAGAUACUUGCCUAAGAUCACCAGCGAUAGGGAGGCCAUGGAACAUAGGGGUUAAGAAUUUAGGAUCUGGAGACAGACUGACUUUGGUUAGAGUCCUGGCUCCACUGUUUAGCUGUCAGGUGAGUGUGAGCCUCAGCUUCUUCAGGGGUAAGAGAAGGAUCCUGAACAUUCCUACCCUGUUGGGAUAUCGUGGCUGUGAAAUGAGAUAUGGAAGUAGUACAGCAGCAUUCCUGGUGUGUAGUUAAGAGCUCAGGAAACGGGGUUAUUGAGAUUGGGAAUUCCUUAAAAAUGGGAACUAUCUUAUUCAUGUUUGCUCAUUCCUCCUUCUGCUUCCUUGCACACAUGAGACACCCAAAUACUACUUUAUCUGGAGUUGAUAUUAAAAGGAUGUUUGUUAAUGGGAUGAAUGCAUGAAUGCUCAGAAUAAAGAACUGCCCGCAUCGAUGGGCUCUGCACUCCUGUCAAGUGUUUUCAGCUUUGGUGCCUUUUGGUCUCCAUAGGCUGGAUCCAGGCCAGGCCAAGAGUCUGUCUUGUGUAGCUCAGCCCACACAGUAAAGUGACUUGCCCAUUCAGGUCCCAUACCCCGCUGCCCUGUGGCCCAGGACUUAUACUUCCUAGGGCUGUGGGUUUCUUGAAGGACAGAUGGAGUAGAUUCCUCCCAACCUUCAGGCACAAUAUACAAUAUAAAUGGAACUAAUAUAUAGCUUUGUAGUAUACAAAAAGUUUCCCUUCACUCUCACAUGAGCCUCACUGUAGCACUGAAAUUGUCCGGAGUAAUAUCCCCACACCGGGGAUGAAGACACUGAGACUCAGUGCUAAGGUGUCGCUGGUCCAAAAGUGCACAGCAGGAAGAGCUGGAGCAGGGGCAUGGCCCCAUCUUCUGACUCCAACUCUAGUGGUCUUUCCACCAAAUGAAGGCUCUUUGGGUCUGUAGUUUUUCAUAGGAUGUGAUUCCAGUGAGGUAAGGAGCUCUGGGCUUGGAGUCAAAAUGCCUUGAUUUGGAUCAUGUCCCCAUCACUUACAAGGGCACAGCUCUUGAGCAAGCCACCUCUCUUCUAGAGAUGCUCGUUUCCUGAUCUUCCUGCUUGGAUUUGUAGUGGGGCUCAAGGUGCUUUGGAAGGUCUGAAACUCCAGGUGAAUGACUGGGGAGAGGAAUGUUGUUUUCAGCAAACAGCGUCUCCGGGAGCCGCCUUGAGCUCAACAAGGCUGCAGCCCCAAUAGGUGCAGAUGUGCUAUGGAAUGACUGGUAUGGAAUGCCUGGGUAUGGUGGAAAGUGCUCUCCAUUGUCCUGAAACGUUAACCAUCAGAGCCGGAAGGCCCUUGGAGAUCAGUAAAGCUGGAGCCUUCAGUUUAUGUGUGCAGAGACAGAGGCCUUGGGAGAGGCAGUGACUCACCCAGGACCACAUGCUGAGUUAGUGGCAGAGCCGCCCGGUUCCUCCUCUAGGGCCCAGCAAAGCCUGGCAUAGGCCCUUGCUCCAGGUGCCUCGUCUGAAUGCAUUUUAAAGCAUCAGAUAAAGAAAUGACUGUUUGAAAGAACUUUGUAUAUUAGACAAUAUUUACAACAGUGGUAUUUUUUUAAACAUUUUUUAUUAUGAAAGUAAUAUGUGAUCAUGAAAAAAAUUUGGAUAAUAGAGAAAUGUUCUGUUUAGAAGAUAACAUACUGGGUACCAUUCCUAAACGACAGAAAUACCCCUGUAGGCAGGUUGCUAUCUUUUAGAUGGAGGCUUUUAGACCAGUGGUUCCCCAAACCCUGUACACCUUCUGGAAGUUUAGCUACAAAGAGAAGAGAGUAACUUCAUAGAGGCCUUCAGGACUUAAUUUAGUUCCACAAACUUCAGAUGGUUAGAUCUGCUACUGAUAAGAGUAGUAAUAAUAGUUGUUGGCAUUUGUAGAGUCCCUUCCAGGUAACAAACCACUUCUUCAUAGGCGUUCUCAUUGAUUAUUUGUUCAUUACAAGAAUCCUGUAAGGUAGAAAAAACAAGACUUAUUUUCCCAUUCUGCAAAUGGGAAAUUUGAGUCCCAGAGAGAUUAAGUAACUUGCUCAAGAUUACACAUCUAGUAAGUAGUAGAGCUACUGACUUCAAAUGAAUACUUGGCAUAAAGAAAGCAGAGAGUACCUAAUAAAUGUCUGUGAGUGAAUGAAUGAAUACCUGACUCCCUUUCUUGGGAAGGCACUGGACAUCAUCUGGUGCAGCGGUUUUCAGAGCAUGCUCUGGCAAGCCCUUUUAUUCCAUGGAGCCAGUUGGGGGUAGUGGGCAGCUGAGUGGAUGAGGCUCUCAGCCCCUCACCCCUACUCCAAUCAGAGGAGCUUCAGGUGUGGCCUGUUUCAUGCACUGGGAGAGUGGAAACAAUUUAGCUAGUUUGAUUCCUAGAUCAGUGGGUCUCAAACUCUCAUGUGCAUCAGAACCUCCACGGGACAUCCCAAUGGUUGGUCUGCGGUGGGCGCCAGAAUUCUGAUUGUUAACAAGUGCAGAUGGUCAUCAGGCCACAGUUUGAGAAUCAGGGGCCUGAUUCUUGGACUUGGGGAAGGUAAGACCCAGGGAGAAGCAGGGAGUUACCCUCAGUCAUACAGCUCCAUGGGAAGGAGCAUAGGCCCCACUAGGAGUCUAAUCCUUGGGUACCUCGUCCCUUCCCUCUGUACCACAACUGCAGCUGAGCCAGAAAACAAAUGACACAGCAGAGAAUAGCAGAACGGUUUCCAUAGCAAUGCUUAGUGGUUUGUGCCUGUCGGGAUACCUCAGACAAACACUAAUCUAAACCCUCAUCUAGAACUUGUGUGAAGUGUUACCCACUUGUUCCACGCAAAAGGUCUUGGGGGAUGGGAGGAAGGAAGAGGCAUGGCAUGUUUUUUUCAUGUGCCCCUGUACUAGAGAUUGUUCCAAAUUUACUAAUAGCUGGCAGCAAGAUAGACCAGACCAAGGAGAGCUAGGAGUGGAUCCUGGGCAGGAGACAUGGGGCCCUCGCAGCGGCAAAUGGAGAGAUGGGGGAGGGAACAAGUAUCAACUGAGUGUGUUUCAUGUGAUGGACUCUGUGCAGGGCACUUUAUGUAUUCAUUCAAAAAUAAAAGGAAAGGAAAA